GGCUAUAUUUUUCCAGAGAUGAAUUACAUACACAAAUUUCAUGUCUGGCUUAGCAUUUUGACUGCUCUUAGAAUAAUAAAUCAGUCUACCUGCUUACUCCAUCUUCUGUAUUUCCAUCACACACCUACAUUUCUUUAUGAAUGCACUUCAAAUUGCUUUUUCCCAAAAACAGCAGGCAUUCCUCCUGUUCAGGCUAACAUGCGGCCCGAGGAAGUGAGGAGAAUAAAUAGGGUCGUACCAUAGGAUUUCUGGAGUUGCAUUGGGAGACUUGCCAAAUGGCCCAAAACAUUCUCUCAUAUACAGAGUUCUUGAAGGUAUUAUGGGGAUAAAAGUGUUAUUAACUAGCUAUAAGUUUUCAGACACCUAUUUUUUUUAAUAAUUGUGAUCAAUUAGGCAGUGAAUACAAAUUAACAUUGAACUAUCUUAAUGCUACAGGGAACUAGGCUUUUCAUAGUCAUGUAUGACUUUAAAAACUCAUUAAUAUAAGUAAUGCAUCCAUUAGUAUUCUAAUAUAGUCUUGUGCUCCUGGUGGAAAGACAUUAUAGGCCUAAUGUUUCGUUUUCUGCCUUGGCUAUUUUCAAAGCGCAUGUUUAUUUUCUAAAUUUAGCAUCCAGUACUAAAGUAGGCAUAAAUAUAUAGCAUAUAUUUUAACAAAACAAAGCCAUAAAUGACAAAUACAAUCAGUUCUAAAUAAUAAUGGAGGCAAGUGCUACUGUACUUUUAAAGUGAUAUGGAUGAACUCAUCAGACAUUAUUAUUGUUGUUGUUAUUAAAUAAAGGGGGAGAAAUGCACAAUGAGGAGAUUGAGUGGAAAUAGCUCAAUGCGCAGUGAUUUGAUUGAGAUAAAGCCUAAAUUCAAAGCAGGCAAUUCCCAUGAAGUAUGUGACUUCAAGUAGUUCCGUUAAAAUCAUCACAUUUUGUGGUUGGUUAAGCGAAGCAAACACUUUCCAAAGAGAGAUGAGCAGAGAGAUACAAGAGCUUGAUGACUGUGCCACCUUGGCAGGAAUAAUUUAUGAUGCAGCAAUGGGGGCAGGGAAUGGAGGGGGAGAAAUGAAGUAAUGAGAACAUAUUUCAGGCUAUAGAAUACCUGACAUUCUCUCUCUGUGUGUGUGUGCACAUGUGCCCUCACCACCUUCUCAGGCAUUCUUGAGGUGACAGCAAAAUCCUAUCCCACUGGAAAAAAAUGUUUUAAAAAUUGCAGGCACUUCAAUAGCAUAUAGAUAUCAAUAGCAUAUCUUUCACCACUGUUUCUUAGAUAACUCCAUUCACCUCUCAACAAGAGGAUCGCAGAUGUGUCCAUCCAGCUCUUGCCAGCACCUCAGAGGGCCAGUUUUAGAGCUAAUUUAAACUUACAGGAGAAGCAUAUAGCACAGCCUAUCCUGUCCUGCCUUUAAGCUGCAGUUACGGAAAAAACACGUCUGCAAAACUCAUUUUAUGUACACAGCUACUAAGUCAGGUAAAAGAGGGUUAUUCUAGAUUUCUCCACCUUUCAAACUCAUUGCACGUACACAGCUACUAAGUCAGGUAAAAGAGGGUUAUUCUAGAUAUCUCCACAUUUCAAUCCAGUUCCAACCAUAAAGGCAUACAGGGUGCUGACAAACAUGGAGGACUGACCCGGACUGCUGAAGCAGUUUGCACAGGUACCUUCCCAGUCCAGCAAAGAUAUGUCCAUGGAGAACAUAGCUUCUAUUUUCCAGUGUGGUUCGGAACUGAGAGUGUCAGACUCUGCCUGAUAGAUGUGACCUUAGUUUGGUAUCUCUGUGCUAGGGAAAUCCUGGCCCCCAUGUUAAUCUGCCUUCAACAAAAUUCUUGGUUGGAAGUAACAAGAAACAAACUGGUUUCUCGGAUCAUCAGACUGUAGCGCUCUCACACAAACACCAGCAAACUCCAUCCAGGCAAGCACCACAGUGCAAGGACAUAUUCCAGCCAGGCAUAAGCACUCAAUGUGGAGCAAGGCUGUUGAAGGGCAUUUGGCCUGGGAAAGUCCCAAGGGUGAGAUAAAGGGCCUGGAAGGAGACAUAUAAAUGGGCUGGGCUAGCAGUAUGCUGGAAUUUAUACUGUAGCCAAUAAUAGCAAAUUGGCCAGCAACAGAGUGUAGAGAAGUGUCAUGCUGUGUAAGAAGAAAGGCCUACCUAAUCCAGUUCUCACAGUGGCUAACCACAUGCCUAUGGGAAGCCCACAAGCAGGAUCUGAGCACAAGAGAACAACCAUGCCACCAACAGUGCAUUCUCAGAGAGAGAGAGAGAGAGAGAGAGAGAGAGAGAGAGAAGGUGUCAAACCACUAAAUGUAUUUCUAAGCUUGGGAUUUAGGACCUUCUCAGCAACUUAGAAAACCCUGAAUAUUCUAUGUCAUGGUUCUGAUUCCACCAUCACUUCUCACCAGUUAGCGCAUGAAAACAACAUUUGGGAAACGGAGUGUGCAGUCCUAUAUCCACUGGGAGCAAGCUCCAUUGAAUGGGACUUACUUCUGUGCAUACAUGUAUAGGAUUGUGUUGCAAAUGUUAUUCUAGUGGAAAGUAAACACUUACCUUAGACUUUGUUAUGUUAAUUCAACCAGCUGAAAUCAGAUCUGUUAUCACUAUAAUGGAUACCACCUCUGGGAACUAGUGGUAUAUCUGUGCCUGUAGUGUGACAUUUCAAACUACAAGUGGGAGCUAACAGGACUGAAUAUUCAGAUAUAGAUACACAAACAUACCCUUUCUACGCAGAAUGUAAAGGAAAAGACUAAGCAACAGACAUCUAGUUAGUGCGCUGGGAAUUUUUAUAUAUGGAGGAAGUAACAGAAUCUUGUGAGACUCCUGUGCAGUGCAGUGCAGUUCUGCCUAGAUACAGGCUUGGGACCACAUAACAAAGCCCAAUAAUGCCAGAUUAUAAUACCUGGUCCCAGAGCUUGGUGUCAGGAAACAAAGCCUGCUGAAUCCACCCUCAUAUGUGAGGCUUCAAAAUCCUACAUUGCCUAAACCUUUAGUGAUACUGAGCAAAUUUGUUCCCAUCUAACUUCUGAUUUCUUUGUUUUAUGAUACAACAGCGAAUCACAAGAAAACAAAGUGGGGUGAGGGAGACCUGCCACGAUCUUUAUUUCGUCCUCAAAAUUCUCACCAAUACUGUGUGAGAAAUGUGGCUACAAAAAUAAUCUAUAAAAUCUUAUUUUCUCCCAGCUAUUCAUUUGCAGUUAAUUCCCAACCUUAGUUUGUUACAAAAACUGCAAGCUAGCAAGGAUAUGCAUAGUGUUUUCUGGAUCUAACUUCCCCCUCCUACAUGUACAGUACAUUCUCUCCAUAUAUUAUGGAAGAUAAACUCUCUAUACUUCUCAAGUAGGAAAACUGAAAGAGGAUUUCAUUGCCACUGCCGAGGCAUUAUAACUUACUUAGAGAUUUUUUACCCUAACUGCAUUCAGUGCAUGCAAUUUGAUUAAAACUACACUUUGGGUUUUAACUGUACAAAAAGAAAAUUUAUCCAUUGUAAUAAACAUAUUUUAAGAAAAAAUCAUGGUCUUUGCCUUUAACCCCCUGGUCCCCUCAAUCUGAAGAGAAUCGGGAUGAAAUGAAGAUUGGAAACAUUAAUUUCCUUUCACAUUGUAGAUUAGAAACCUGGGACUGUCUUGCAGACAUAAUCAGCCCUACUGACCAAGGUGAGGCAGCCAUCUCAAGUGGCAGAUGCUGAGGAGCCAUGAGGGAGGAAGUAUGUGUGACCUGAUGCCUGUCCUGCAUCCAGUAAGAUAUCCUGGUGCACUAGAUGAUAUUGUCCAGUAUAGUGGAGGCUGCUUCAUUAGGCCAAAUAGAGGACUGCCCCACCAACCUCAGUUUUGCCCACUUAAUUACUAUUAGUUGGGGGUGAGAGGCCUCUGCCUGCUAUAUAGGCACCACCAGUGUUGAAGUAAGAUUCAUCUACCAGAAUGGUUGGCUUUUGUACAUGGAAUGAAAAGGCACCAUCUUGUCCUUUACUCCAGAAAAUAAUAGACAUAUUACAAAGUUCUCUGAACAGCUUGAAGAUUCUCAACUGGGGUGGGGGGGACUUUAGAUUUUAUACUUGUUUAUACAGCAUUACUAAAACUCCAUUAAGGGCAUGUGGAGCUAAGUAGCCAGAUAAAAGUGAGCUUCCUAUGUAAGCAUAUUGUUUUUUCUUUGAAACAGAACCUCCUCUAUGCAAAGGAGAGACACACACAUAGGCACUCC
rnacentral:lncRNA from 1 species